CAUAAAAAAAAUCCCACACAUGUAACCAGGAAAAAUCAAACAAGGAUUUAAAAAAUGAGACAGUACUACAUAAUUUUACCAUACUUGGUAAUAUUAUAAUUCGAACCUGGAUCACCAUUUUGUAAAACUUUUUUGAAUGAGAUAGUGUCGAAGAAAGGUUCUGAGGUUUCUAACAAAAUCAGUUGUGGUUUAGAAUGUGAUAGAAAAACACAUCGUGAAGAAAUAUCAAAAUUAGAAAAUUCACAGCCUGAAGAAGAUUGUGUGGUUGAUGAUAACAUCGAUAUAGGUGCAGCUAAACAACUGGAUCAAGAAAGUGUUGAAAAUGAAAGCAGAGAGAAACAAACAGAAAAAUUUUUCAAAGAUGAGUCUGAAGAUGCUUCGCUAUAUUUUGAAUCAGUAGAAUCUUUUGAAUCACUCUGUGCAAAGAUAAAACAUCUACAAGUCAAGGGAAAUCUAUUAACACCCAACCAACGGAGAAAAUAUGCAGAAAAGGCAACUCUGUCAUUUUGGAGGGCUAUUGGUGGAAAUUCUGAUGAAAUAGAUGACUCAUCAGACACUGAUGUUGAAACAUGAAAUAUUACUACCUAAUAACAUAGAUUUAUAUAUGAAAUUGCAUUUUCAUGCAUUUUACUGUUGUAUAUAAGCUAAAACGUAUCUAUAUAUAGAAAAGUAACAAACAUUUCUAUGUCUAAGAAGUAAAAUUUAAAUUUUAAUAAUUUGGUGUAUAAUCUAGCUGUUUUUUCCUAAUAUUUCAGAGAAAUGCUUACCAUUUAAAUCAAUUACUACUUUAACACAUCUUACCCAUAAAUAACAAAACUUUUUAUUCUUCUGUUAGCUAUCCUCAUAUUCUUGUGUCAUAGUAUGUUUCUUAUUCAUAGGAUAGUGAUUACUUUGCAGGAAAUACACAGCCAUGAAUAUGUUCAAAUGCCACUGAAUUAUCUUCUCCUAUUGUAUAUCUGCAAAAGUAAACAGAAUACCAUGUAUAUCUUGAGUAUAAAAUACAAUACAGGAAGGCCUAACAUUUUCCUCCAAUCUUAAAAUUCAGUCCAAGAUUUUGUAAGGAUUUGAAUAUAUAGUUAUCUAUCUCUUUGGGAAAAAAAACUGUUUUCACCAUAUAAGACAGCAUAUUAUCUGUACGAGAUUAACUAUGUUUGAGUCAAUUGAUUAUUUCCUCAAGACUUCGCAGAGAAAAAGUAAAUAGAAAAAUAAGGAAAAGAAAAUAAGAUAAAAGAAGCUAUUAUUCAUUAUAUCAAGAAAUAUUUUCUUUUAUAACUUUUAUUAUUUUUGCAGCACCAAAAACUACCAAGAGUCUUAGAUAUCUCAGAAACUGGGGGUGGGGGGGAAAUCAUUCUAGGUCAUGGGCUAGAAAGGUUGCCUGAUGGUUUAGCAAGUACAAUUGCUCACAUAUAUUAAAUGUUAAAAGUUUAUCUGAUAUACUGUUGAUUCAUUGAACUGUGUUUUUAUUGACUUGAGCCAGAUGAUUGUUUUAUAGCACUACUUUUAUUUUUUAACAGACUUUUUCUCUUUAUAGCUGUUUAUUUCAUUUAUCAAUAAACAGAUUAGCAUCCAUAAACUAAAGACAGUCUGAAUGACUCUCUCAAAAUAAUAUAGUAAUUUUGAUACUUGUGUAAUAUUAGAAGCAGAAUGAGUGAUAGCAUAAUGACUAGGAUUGGAGGAAGCUGUAAAGCUCAAGGAACUGUUAUUUUUGAGAUAAAUCUUACAAAAAAACUAAGAAGUGAGGUACAGUGUAAGAAUAAAUUAUGAUUAUUGAAA
rnacentral:lncRNA from 1 species